CCUACGGGUGGCAGCAGUGGGGAAUAUUGGGCAAUGGAGGAAACUCUGAACCAGCAAAGCCGCGUGAGUGAUGCAGGUCUAGGGAUUGAAAAGUUCUUUUCUAAGGGAAGAAGAAAGUGAGGGUACCUUAGGAAUAAGCCUCGGCUAACAACGUGCCAGCAGCCGCGGUAAUACGUAGGAGGCGAGCGUUAUCCGGAAUGACGGGGUGUAAAGGGUGCGUAGGUGGUUUAGUAAGUUGGCGGUGUAAUUCCGGGGCUCAACCUCGGCGCUACCGCCAAAACUAUUAGACUAGAGUGCAGGAGGGGUAAGUGGAAUUCCUAGUGUAGCGGUGGAAUGCGUAGAUAUUAGGAGGAACAUCAGGGGCGAAGGCGACUUACUGGACUGUAACUGACACUGAGGCACGAAAGCGUGGGGAGCAAACAGGAUUAGAUACCCCGGUAGUC
rnacentral:rRNA from 1 species